UCUUUCCUCUCUCGGCGUUUCGAGGUCCAAAGCCACCUCUUCUCACCUUGGUCCUCGAGGGCGGCGAGCUCCGUGAUCCGAGUUCCCUCCCGUUCCAGAUACAAUCAUCGUGCUUUCCUCCGCUUGCCAUCGGUUCCGGUCUUCCGAGAGAGAGAUUUCGAGGACGAUCUCGCUUCAUAUUGCUUCGGUGUCGGGUUAAGCCAGGAUCCCGCCGAGUCGAAGUGAUCUGAGGUUUCUCCAGCUUCUCAGCUUCCAAUAUAGGAUUUCUUGGAUUUAUUUGACAACUCGUUGGAGGGAUUCGAGGUUUGGUUGCUAGAAUGUGCAGAUGGAGAAGGGUAGGGAGGGCGACGAUCGGAUUGGAAGGCUUAGGGUUUGUUGCCCGUGAUUUUUAAACCAAGGAUUUGAUUUUUGGAUUCUUUGGUCAAGAAAGCUUGGGGAUCCAGGGUUUCCGGUAUUCUUUUUGUUGGUUGUUUCUGUUCUCGUUUUAUGCGCGAGGAAGGAUUUGGUUGGAAUGGAUACGGAUAUGGUGAGGGACAUGGCAUCACUUGACCCGGAGCUGCUGCAGCUUCCGGAGGUAUCUCAAUUAGCUCUGAAGGAGAAACCUAAAAUAGCUGAAGACCUGUAUUGCCAGUGGCUCUCAUUGCCAGAAACGAGGAAAUUGGUUAAGUCAUUGAUUGAAGAUGCAAAAGCAGGUUCACCUUUGAAUGUUGCUGGCAGCUCUGGUACUGCAAUUGCUGCUGCUAACAAUUCACUGCCUUCCAUGUUUCCUGCUGGCAGUGUGCCUCCUCUCUCACCUAGGAGCACAUCUGGAUCUCCUCGUUUUAUGAAGCGUAGUAGUUCAGCAGCUGGACCUUCACCUUUUGGUUCUCCACUAAAAUUAGUUAAUGAACCUGUCAAAGAAGUUAUACCUCAGUUCUACUUCCAAUAUGGGCGUCCUCCACCAAGAGAACUGAAGGAACAAUGCUUAUCUAGAAUUGAUCAUCUUUUCUUUGGCAACAUGGACGGACUACAAAUACAAGAAUUCAAAACCCUGACAAAGGAAAUCUGCAAGUUACCAUCAUUUCUUUCCAGUUCUCUUUUCAGAAAAAUUGAUGUUGAGUGCACUGGAAUGGUAACAAGGGAUUCAUUCGUCGAAUAUUGGAUUAACAGUAACAUGAUGAUAAAGGAUAUAGCUACACAAAUAUUUACCAUUUUGAAGCAACCGGACCACAAGUACCUUACUCAGGAGGACUUUAAACCAGUCCUGCGAGAACUUUUGGCAACCCAUCCAGGUUUGGAGUUCCUACAGGGAACCCCUGAGUUCCAGGAUAGAUAUGCUGAAACUGUCAUAUACAGAAUCUUUUACCAUGUGAAUAGAUCUGGAAAUGGUCAACUUACCCUCAGAGAGUUGAAACAUGGAAACUUAAUUGCUGCGAUGCAUCAUGCUGACGAAGAGGAGGAUAUUAACAAAGUCUUGAGAUACUUUUCAUACGAGCACUUCUAUGUGAUCUAUUGUAAGUUCUGGGAACUUGAUACAGAUCAUGACUUCUUGAUUGAUAAAGAGAACCUUAUCAGAUAUGGAAACCAUGCACUGACCUACAGAAUUGUUGAAAGGAUCUUUUCACAGGUUCCCAGGAAAUUUAAAAGCAAUGCUGAUGGCAAAAUGGGCUACGAAGACUUUGUGUAUUUUAUACUAGCAGAGGAGGAUAAGUCUGCUGAGCCUAGUCUUGAGUAUUGGUUCAAGUGUAUAGAUUUGGAUGGGAAUGGAAUUUUAACAGCCAAUGAGAUGCAAUUUUUCUAUGAGGAGCAGUUGCAUCGUAUGGAAUGUAUGGCGCAAGAACCUGUACUCUUUGAGGACAUUUUGUGCCAGAUGAUUGAUAUGAUUGGAUCUGAGAAUGAGAGCUACUUUACAUUGCGUGACUUAAAAGGCUGCAAACUUUCAGGAAAUGUUUUUAAUAUCCUUUUUAAUCUCAACAAAUUCAUGGCAUUUGAAACUCGUGAUCCAUUUCUCAUUCGGCAGGAAAGGGAAAACCCAACUUUGACUGAGUGGGACCGUUUCGCACAUAGAGAAUAUAUUAGAUUGAGCAUGGAGGAAGAUGGUGAAGAUGCCUCCAAUGGAAGUGGAGACAUCUGGGAUGAAUCACUUGAGGCUCCUUUUUGAAGAUAAUUCAUGUUGGACAGAUCCAAGCUCUCAAUCACAGCUUAAGGAAAAGGAAGAAAAGGAAGAGAGAAGUGGGGGAGGAGUGGUGGAAGGAGGUGAAGAAGAUAGGAACUGCCUUUGCUGCUGCUUUAUUAUGCCACUAUGCUACAGCCACCCCUAUUGCAGCUGCUGGCACCUGAUCAAAAGAUUUGGUUUCUGGAAGCUUCCCAGAAGCUGCCCAAGGAGCAGCUACAUAGCUUGCAUCGGAUAUUCCUUUGGCAGAAAUUGGUAGGAGUGCCUGCCUUGGUUCUAUAAUUUCAACAGAAAGGUUUAGUUCCAUGUGUAUGUUUCGAUGAUGUGCAAAGUUUUGCUCUCAAGGCAUGUGAAAGCUAGGUAGCUUUCUGGAGUGAGUGGCUCGAUCUGGUAGUGCCAAGCAAGAAGGCAAGACUUUUUGUUUGUUGUCAACAAGAGAGCUCUCUCUCUCUCUCUCUCUCUCUCUCUCUCUCUCUACUUUUCCAGGCCAAGUGCCAACAGGACUGUUGAUCACAUCCCCUUGUAGAUGGAGCAAAUUAACGUUGAUUUAUGAUUUCUGUUUCCUUUCUCUCAUUUGUUCCAUUUUAAUGGUUUUAUGGGAGUACAGGGAAGCAACACUUCAGUUGUCUCCUUCCAUGUGCUUUUCUGCUAAUGUAAUGCCCUUGUUUUAGUGAAUUCCUCUGAUAUGUCCAUUUAACUGCAAUCUAUGAUCAUGAAAAAGACCAAAGUUAUUGGUCGAUAGGCUUUUUACUUCA